AGCGAACGCUGGCGGCAGGCCUAACACAUGCAAGUCGAACGAACUCUUCGGAGUUAGUGGCGGACGGGGGGGCAACACGGGGGAAGGUGCCUAUAGGUUCGGAAUAACUCAGGGAAACAUGUGCUAAUACCGAAUGUGCCAUUCGGGGGGAAGAUUUAUCGCCUUUAGAGCGGCCCGCGUCUGAUUAGCUAGUUGGGGAGGUAAAGGCUCACCAAGGCGACGAUCAGUAGCUGGUCUGCGAGGAUGAUCAGCCACAUUGGGACGGAGCCACGGCCCAGACUCCUACGGGAUGCAGCAGUGCGGGAUCUUGCGCAAUGGGCGAUGGCCUGACGCCGCCCUGCCGCGUGAAUCCUGAAGGUCGUAGGAAUGUGAAAUUCUUUCACCGGGGACGAUAAUGACGGUACCCGGAGAAGAAGCCCCGGCUAACUUCGUG
rnacentral:rRNA from 1 species